GACGAACGCUGGCGGCGUGCUUAACACAUGCAAGUCGAACGGAAAGGCCCUGCAUUUGUGGGCUGCUCGAGUGGCGAACGGGUGAGUAACACGUGAGUAACCUGCCCUUGACUUUGGGAUAACUUCAGGUAAAUGGGGCUAAUACCGGAUAGUAACUCCUGAUGCAUGGUGGGGGUUGGAAAGUUGCGGCGGGUGGGGAUGGACUCGCGGCUUAUCAGCUUGUUGGUGGGGUAGUGGUUUACCAAGGCUUUGACGGGUAGGCGGCCUGUGAGGGUGACCGGCCACAUUGGGACUGAGAUACGGCCCAGACUCCUACGGGGGGCAGCAGUGGGGAAUAUUGCACAAUGGGGGGAAGCCUGAUGCAGCAACGCCGCGUGCGGGAUGACGGCCUUCGGGUUGUAAACCGCUUUCGCCUGUGACGAAGCGUGAGUGACGGUAAUGGGUAAAGAAGCACCGGCUAACUACGUG
rnacentral:rRNA from 1 species